rnacentral:rRNA from 1 species
GAUGAACGCUGGCGGCGUGCCUAAUACAUGCAAGUCGAGCGAACAGAUGAGGAGCUUGCUCCUCUGACGUUAGCGGCGGACGUGUGAGUAACACGUGGAUAACCUACCUAUAAGACUGGGAUAACUUCGGGAAACCGGAGCUAAUACCGGAUAAUAUAUUGAACCGCAUGGUUCAAUAGUGAAAGACGGUUUUGCUGUCACUUAUAGAUGGAUCCGCGCCGCAUUAGCUAGUUGGUAAGGUAACGGCUUACCAAGGCAACGAUGCGUAGCCGACCUGAGAGGGUGAUCGGCCACACUGGAACUGAGACACGGUCCAGACUCCUACGGGAGGCAGCAGUAGGGAAUCUUCCGCAAUGGGCGAAAGCCUGACGGAGCAACGCCGCGUGAGUGAUGAAGGUCUUCGGAUCGUAAAACUCUGUUAUUAGGGAAGAACAAAUGUGUAAGUGACUAUGCACGUCUUGACGGUACCUAAUCAGAAAGCCACGGCUAACUACGUG